rfam:Salmo salar isolate Sally breed double haploid chromosome ssa07, whole genome shotgun sequence.
GCCCCAGUGGCCUAAUGGAUAAGGCACUGGCCUCCUAAGCCAGGGAUUGAGGGUUUGAGUCCCUUCUGGGGUG